AUUGAACGCUGGCGGCAGGCCUAACACAUGCAAGUCGAGCGGAUGAAGGGAGCUUGCUCCUGGAUUCAGCGGCGGACGGGUGAGUAAUGCCUAGGAAUCUGCCUGGUAGUGGGGGAUAACGUCCGGAAACGGGCGCUAAUACCGCAUACGUCCUGAGGGAGAAAGUGGGGGAUCUUCGGACCUCACGCUAUCAGAUGAGCCUAGGUCGGAUUAGCUAGUUGGUGGGGUAAAGGCCUACCAAGGCGACGAUCCGUAACUGGUCUGAGAGGAUGAUCAGUCGCACUGGAACUGAGACACGGUCCAGACUCCUACGGGAGGCAGCAGUGGGGAAUAUUGGACAAUGGGCGAAAGCCUGAUCCAGCCAUGCCGCGUGUGUGAAGAAGGUCUUCGGAUUGUAAAGCACUUUAAGUUGGGAGGAAGGGCAGUAAGUUAAUACCUUACUGUUUUGACGUUACCAACAGAAUAAGCACCGGCUAACUUCGUG
rnacentral:rRNA from 1 species